GACGAACGCUGGAGGCGUGCUUAACACAUGCAAGUCGAACGAUGAAAUGGAGCUUGCUCCAUGGAUUAGUGGCGAAUGGGUGAGUAACACGUGAAUAACCUGCCCUUAAUUUUGGAAUAACCCAGGGAAACCUGGGCUAAUACCGGAUAAGUAAACCUGUGGCAUCACAUGGUAUUGGAAAGUUUUUCGAUUAAGGAUGGAUUCGCGGCCUAUCAGCUUGUUGGUGAGGUAAUGGCUCACCAAGGCGACGACGGGUAGCCGGCCUGAGAGGGUGAACGGCCACACUGGGACUGAGACACGGCCCAGACUCCUACGGGAGGCAGCAGUGGGGAAUAUUGCGCAAUGGACGAAAGUCUGACGCAGCGACGCCUCGUGAGGGACGAAGGUCUUCGGAUUGUAAACCUCUUUCAGCAGGGACGAAGCGAAAGUGACGGUACCUGCAGAAGAAGCACCGGCUAACUGUGUGCCAGCCGCCGCCGUAA
rnacentral:rRNA from 1 species